rnacentral:tRNA from 1 species
GGAGAAGUGGCCGAGUGGUCGAUGGCGUCUGAUUUGAAAUCAGAAGAACUUAGCGGUUCCGGGGGUUCGAAUCCCUUCUUCUCCG